CCAUUUGUAUACCAUUUUUGGUUCCAGAGAUAUCUCAACUGCCAUGAGUCAGAGAUAGAUGUCGGGCUAGUUGUCAAUCUGGGUUCGAGUUGAAACUGCACACACACACACACAGCACUGUCUCAAUCUGAGGGAUGCAUGAUAUGAUUUGUCUCCCGCCCUGCACGAGUACAAUCAUCUUUCUCUUUCUCAACUUAUUUCUACUUUUUUUGUAAGUUGAUUCAGAUUUCUAAGUCGUAUUAAUUUAAAUGUAGUUUUCAUCAGGUUUGGGCAUUUGGGCAAAACAGGGAUGAUGCCACCUUAUCUUUCAUUUCAGGUUACCUGACCCUCAAUACUGAUUCCAGUGCUAGCAAAUACCAUUUUGAACCAGAAGCACAGGUAUGGGCCUCACUCUCCCAUCCUCAAGUGGCUCUUGUGCUCUUUCUGUUAUGGAUUUGUUGAGAUAACCUCUGCAGAACUCUUUUUGUUUGUUUCUUAUUUUUUAUUUUUUAUGGGGCUAUUAUCCAGUUCAUGUGGGUGGACUUCUUCUUUAGAAGAACCCUUUUCUCCUCCCUUUACUUGGCUGAGAUCUUAAGAACCAACGCAGUAUGUAGAGAUCGUAGCGAUUCUCAUACGUAUCCAGAGUUUUGCUUCACGUUAUGAGAGAUGUCUCUACACUAACUGCCCGUGGCUAAUUGUUAUCUUAUAGUGACCUUAAUAAUAGCCUCCAUAUCAUCAGUGACUGUAACUUAAGUGGCUGGCAUUGUUUCUUGGAUUGUUUGAGGCUUAAAGUUUUUUCUAAUUCGUUCUGUUGAAUGACAAGCCUUUAUUUCCAGGUAAAGUCUGUCUACUAUGGCUUAUGAUUUCACUGAUCUGUUUAACCGAUUUAAUAGACUAGUGAAGCAUCAUGAGAAGAAAAAAAAAUAUCCAACCGUAAGUACACUUUAUGAAUACCUGCUAGCGAUUUCUCAAAACAAAAAUGUAGAUUCAAAUUGUGGGAGGUCCUAUUAUGCAAAAAGGGCCAGUUUUUGGCCAGCAUUACUAUCUAGUAAUAAAGAUAUGAGAAAUCUUGAUGUAACAGUGAAAAUAACCAUUGACGUGAAAUAUACAGAUUAGUAGUACAUGUAGCAUUUCUCUAAAGAUAUUGGCUCUGCUUAGCGGAAGUAAAGUCAAGAUAUAUUGUGUCUGUUUAUUGCUUUUUUUCCUGUUCUUUUUAAAACCAAGUGUAGCUGGUUUCAAACUAGUUGGUUGUCUCAAGAGAAGAUUCUUCAAUAAUCUGGCUAUUGAAUAAUACAUAAAUAUCAGUGUGAAGUAGUGCAGUUGCAGCAGCAUUGCAGAUUAUAGAACAUUGGAAAAUUAAACAAAAAUUCUCUUAUCCAUCAAAAGAACAACUAUCGAUCAACCAUUUGAAGGCGGACGAGUCGGAGACGUAACCUCAAUCCAGAUUUAGAUCAAUACACAAGCUUGUUCACUGCUACCAGGAGCAGUGUAUCGACCUUUGCAAAAUUGUUCAGUUCAAUCCAAAAGAUGAUAAAGGGUGCGAUCCUAAUCGUGGACCAAAGGUCAUCACCUUCACCGCUUUACUCUGCCCUUUUCCGGGAAGUUUCCUAAAAGAAAUUUGAUAGGACGAAGAAGAUGGCCCCCGAUGGCUUUUAUUCUCUCUUUACCUUUCAUUGGUUUUUAACAUCAUCAAGCUCGUUUACCAAACUCAACCAAAUUCUUUUGGGUGGUUGAAACUCUAAUCAAGUCGGAUUGUCCUCUUUUGGUAUUUCAUGCAUACGUGUAAAAGCCUGGAGAUUCGAGGGACACAUUUCUCACUUACGUCUUUCAUGUUACCAAAUGUCGUGUUCAUUCUACUUUAUGACGAACUUUUAUACAUUUUCUUUCUCAGUUUUGUCGAAGAGCCUUGCAUUGUCUUUGUUUCAUAUUGUGAUUAGCGAGAAGAAGCUGAUUUUCACUGACGUAUUCAUUUUUCAAUGAUAGUA